rnacentral:rRNA from 1 species
GCACGUAGUUAGCCGAGACUUAUUCCUGAGAUACUGUCCUUUCUCAUCUCUCAGAAAAGUGCUUUACGACCCGAAGGCCUUCAUCGCACACGCGGCGUUGCUGCAUCAGGCUUUCGCCCAUUGUGCAAUAUUCCCUACUGCUGCCACCCGUAGGUGUAUGGACCGUGUUUCAGUUCCAUUGUGGGGGGUCACCCUCUCAGGUCCCCUACCCGUCGUCGCCCUGGUGAGCCGUUACCUCACCAACUAGCUGAUGGGACGCAGGUCCCUCCCAAAGCGAAUUGCUCCUUUAGUCAUCAGUUUCUAAACCUGAAGACCACAUGCGGUAUUAGCAAUCCUUUCGGACUGUUAUCCCACACUUUGGGGUAGGUCACCAACGCGUUACUCACCCGUUCGCCACUAGGAUACUCUCGUAUUGCUACAAAAGCACCUCGUUCGACUUGCAUGUAUUAGGCACGCCGCCAGCGUUCAUC